UGCCAGCCGCCGCGGUAAUACGUAGGGUGCAAGCGUUAAUCGGAAUCACUGGGUUUAAAGGGUGCGUAGGCGGGCCUGUAAGUCAGAGGUGAAAGCCCACCGCUUAACGGUGGAAUUGCCUUUGAUACUGCGGGUCUUGAAUUAGGUUGAGGUGAGCGGAAUGUGGCAUGUAGCGGUGAAAUGCUUAGAUAUGCCAUAGAACACCGAUUGCGAAGGCAGCUCACUGGCCCUUGAUUGACGCUGAGGCACGAAAGCGUGGGGAGCGAACAGGAUUAGAUA
rnacentral:rRNA from 1 species